CCUCAACUAACUACCAAGAUUCAGAUAAACAUAAUUCAUAUAAUAUCAACCUGCAACAAAUUUAACUAAAUCAUUCAAGAUCCGAAUCAACAAUUAGUGCUCGGACUUCUUCCGCCCUUAUUGUCUUCGUUUUUCGAUAUAAAACUCGAGAGCAUGGCGUUAAAGCUUCUCUAUGCGAAGGGUGGUUAUCAGUUAAAACAGCUCCAAUAAUUCGGACAAAUGCAGAUUCGGAGUAGAUAAGCCCGUUGUCUUGGCAUGCCUGAAGACACAAGCCCUCGAUUCCCGGGACUAUUUGCGAAGUUGUCGGAACAUAUAUACGUCACAAAUAUUUUCGCAAGUUUGUUUCGUUAAGAACAAGCUUAUACAUGCCUUCACUCUCCUGUGUAUACACACCUAGGAUCGUCACUCUUUAACGUGUGUCUCAACACAAUUCGGCUUCUUUAUCGUCUUCGUCUUGCGUAAAACUUUUUAUGUAUGGAGCCAUUUUGAGACCCUGCUUUUAAUUUGCUUUUUA
rnacentral:lncRNA from 1 species